GAUGUUGCAUUUCAUGCCCGCUGGCCCCGAUAGACAGAUUGACAUUCCUCUAAGUAGGCAAUAAGCUCAGCGGAAGGUGUUGGUGCACUCCACUUGAUCCGGAGUUCCUUACUUGUUCAGUAUGCUUUAAAUAUUUAUUGAUUGGUAUGGCGGGGCCCUGCCCCAACCUUUAUGAUAUUAGGUACUCUUAGAGGCUUGUAAACAUAUGUCAGGUGUAUGGAUACUGUUAUGGCCUUGUCGGCCUAUGUUUUGAGUUUCCAAAUGGUCAUGUCGGCCUUAUAAGCUCGUAUAUCACAUGUAUAAAUUUUCAUAUCAUGUUGGG
rnacentral:lncRNA from 1 species